rnacentral:lncRNA from 1 species
GGACACAGGGUAUCCAAGCUACUCUGCUACUAUUAACUAUUAUAAAAUCCAGGCUCACGGUUCAUCAAUUUUUCUAGCCUUUUUACUGCAUCAAAAUUUCACAUUGUAUCCAAAAAUACAAAUUAUUACUAUUGUUUACUUUUAUUACUUAUAAAUUAAAAAAAAUUUAGGGGCUAGACAGAUGGCUGAUCAGUUAGGAGCACUGGCUGCUCUUCAAGAGGACCUGGAUUUUGUUCCCAGCUCCACAUGGUGGAUCACAACCAUCUGUGACUCCAAUUCCAGGAGAUCUCCAUGCCCUUAGGUGUGGAAACGUAUCCUUAGGCAGGCAAGACACCUAUAUACAUAAAAAUAAAAUAGUAUUUUUAUGAAAGAGUAAAGAAGUUAGCUGUCUGGGGAGGUAGAUGACAGAGAAAAUAACUUUUCAAUAAUCUUCUAGCUCUAGAAUCCUAGAGUUUCAAGUCACAUCCGGCCCUUAGCUAAUUAGAUUUUGAUGCUCAGCAUUCAUUACUAAUCAUAGCUAUCAUUUUCAAGGACUCUUCUCUUCUAUCCUACGUUCUGUAAGUUGAUCAUGUCUCAUUGCUUAUCUCAAUCUUCCCUACAGUUCUAUAAACUAUGUAUGAACCCAUUUUACUAAGGGGAAAGCUGAGGCACACAUAGUAACCUGCCUCAGAGAAAAUUGGACAGCAUGUCAGCAAAGCAUAAAAAGGGAAGGAUUUGAGGCUUGUCUCUAGACUCAGAUGUUCCAGGGCCAUGGAGAGCUGCCCCACCUCACCAGUGUGUCCUACAGCCUUUGGGUUGCCAUUUAGGGGAGACGGAGCUCUCCUGUUAGGUCUGACCCUUGCUCCACAAUAACUCAGCCUCAAGUGUGAAGCCAAGAGGUUUAUGACAGUUUGGGAGAUUUCCACAGUGU